GAUGAAGAACGUAGCGAAAUGCGAUACGUAAUGUGAAUUGCAGAAUUCAGUGAAUCAUCGAAUCUUUGAACGCACAUUGCGCCCGCCAGCACUCUGGCGGGCAUGCCUGUUCGAGCGUCAUUUCAACCAUCAAGCCCCAGGCUUGCGUUGGAGCCCUGCGGCUGCCACAGCCUCCUAAAAGCAGUGGCGGGCUCGCUAUCACACCGAGUGCAGUAGAUUACUCUUCUCAGGGCGUGCAGCGGGUUCCGGCCGUGAAACCCCCUACUUUUAAAGGUUGACCUCGGAUCAGGUAGGAAUACCCGCUGAACUUAAGCAUAUCAAUAAGCGGAGGA
rnacentral:misc_RNA from 1 species